UACAGAGGGUGCGAGCGUUGUCCGGAAUCACUGGGCGUAAAGGGCGCGUAGGCGGCGCGGUAAGCGUGCGGUGAAAGCCCGGGGCUCAACCCCGAGUCGGCCGUCGAUACUCCCGUGCUGGAGCACUGUAGAGGCAGGUGGAAUUCCGGGUGUAGCGGUGGAAUGCGUAGAGAUCCGGAAGAACACCGGUGGCGAAGGCGGCCUGCUGGGCAGUAGCUGACGCUGAGGCGCGACAGCGUGGGGAGCAAACAGG
rnacentral:rRNA from 1 species